AGGUGCAACGUUGUUCGGAAUUAUUGGGCGUAAAGCGCGUGUAGGCGGUCCUGUGUGUCAGAUGUGAAAUCCUCGGGCUCAACCCGGGACGGGCAUUUGAAACUGCAGGACUUGAGUACGAGAGAGGGAAGCGGAAUUCCCGGUGUAGCAGUGAAAUGCGUAGAUAUCGGGAGGAACACCAGUGGCGAAGGCGGCUUCCUGGAUCGCAACUGACGCUGAGACGCGAAAGCGUGGGUAGUAAACAGGAUUAGAUACCCUGGUAAUCCACGCCCUAAACGAUGGGUACUAGGUGUUGUGGGUGUUUGACCCCCGCAGUGCCGAAGCUAACGCGAUAAGUACCCCGCCUGGGGAGUUACGGCCGCAAGGUUAAAACNCAANGAAUUGACGGGGGCCCCGCACAAGCGGUGGAGUAUGUGGUUCAAUUCGACGCAACGCGAAGAAACUUACCCAGGCUUGACAUGCAAGGAACCCCGAUGAAAUUGGGGGUUCCCGCAANGGAACCUUGACACAGGUUGCUGCAUGCUGUCGUCACAUGUUA
rnacentral:rRNA from 1 species